rnacentral:misc_RNA from 1 species
GCUCACUCUGUCUCCGUCCGUCAAUUCUUCUCCAGUGAAACGGGUCAAACAUUUCCGGCCACCGGGGAAGGCGAUUCUUCUCGCCGGAGAACUGAACUUUGUUCUGCCGAUAUCGUUUUCGGCUCUACCGCAUUCAAAUGCUACAUCUUUGAGAAGGAAAGAGAAAUAGAAAGUUCAGAUGGUUCCAAUAACAAGCUGUUUCUGUGUAGCAAUAGUUGCACUGAGUCUGUUCUCGACGCUAUCAGAAUCAGCAUCUCAAGCCUAUCGUAGAGAUCCUGGUCACCAACAGUGGCACCAUGGAGCUUUUCAAGACGUUAAAGAAAACGUUCGAUCGGAAGUUCGUCAAAUGCUUCAUUCUCGUGCCGAGGUUCCAUUUCAAGUCCCUCUGGAAGUCAACAUAGUUCUUGUUGGUUUUAGUGGUGAUGGGGGUUAUAGGUACGCAUUAGAUUCUCCAAAGCUGGAGGAGUUUCUGAAAGUCAGUUUCCCAUCUCAUAGACCCUCGUGUUUGGAGACAGGCCAACCACUUGAUAUUGAGCAUCACUUAGUAUAUAAUACAUUUCCGGCUGGACAGCCAGAACUAAUAGCUUUGGAGAAAGCACUUAAGGCAGCAAUGGUGCCUGCUGGAAAUGCAAGAGAGACUGAUUUUGGAAGAGAAGUUCCCCUUUUUGAAGUUGAGGCAACUGCCGUGGAACCAGAAUUUCAGAAACUUUAUUCUUACCUAUUUGAUCUUGAAAGUUGGGGGCAGUCUGCUGAAGAGAUGGAUAGACCAUGGCCUACUGUAAUCUUUAUUGUUAACUUUGAUAAGGUAAGAUUGGAUCCAAGGAACACGGACAUUGACCUGGACAGUUUAAUGUAUGGAAGAAUUACACAACUUAACGAGGAAGAGAUGAAAAAACAAGAAGGAGAUUACAUAUAUCGCUAUCGUUAUAAUGGAGGGGGAGCUUCUCAGGUUUGGCUUGGGUCUGGCAGGUUUGUUGUGGUUGACCUCUCAGCAGGUCCUUGCACUUAUGGAAAGAUUGAAACUGAAGAAGGAAGCAUUAGUUCCAGAUCAUUGCCGCGUUUGCGGAACGUUGUGCUUCACAAAGGAUCAGGUGUAGUAACUGAGCAUGCUGCUGAUGAUAUUUUUGUUGGGCAGCUUGCCUCUCUAGUUGCAACCACCAUUGAACAUGUCAUAGCUCCGGAUGUUAGGUUUGAAACUGUUGAUAUGACAACAAGGUUGCUUAUCCCUAUCAUUGUCCUUCAAAAUCAUAAUCGCUUCAAUAUCAUGACAAAGGGCUAUAACUAUAGUCUUGACGUUGGAGCAAUUGAAGCGGAGGUGAAGAAAAUGCUUCACAAAGAACAGGAAGUAGUAAUGAUUGGAGGUUCACAUGCUUUGCAUCGCCAUGAGAAAUUGGCUAUAGCUGUUUCAAAAGCCAUGCGGGGUCAUUCCCUUCAAGAAACAAAGAAGGAUGGACGUUUCCAUGUACAUACAAAGACAUAUCUUGAUGGUGCGAUCCUUAGAGAGGAGAUGGAACGAUCCGCAGAUGUGCUAGCUGCUGGUUUACUUGAGGUUUCUGACCCUUCACUCUCAAGUAAAUUUUUUCUCCGCCAGCACUGGAUGGAUGAGAAUGAUGGUACAAGUGAUUCCGUAUUAAAGCAUAAACCUAUCUGGUCUACUUAUAACCAGAAUCGAAAGAAGGAGAAGAAAAGAGCAGUAAAAAAGAAGCAAGGUGAUCUGCACCGCACAUAUGGUACCAGAGUCAUUCCAGUGUUUGUUCUAUCUUUAGCUGAUGUGGAUGAACAUCUUAUGAUGGAAGAGGAAAGUCUUGUUUGGACAAGUAAAGAUGUAGUUAUUGUACUCCAACAUCAGAAUGAUAAGAUAACUUUGAGCUAUGUUUCAGAAAUAGAGCGAAGGCAUGCUAUUCCAAUGCUAGCCCAACAACAUAUAUUGGCAGGACUGGCUUCUGUUGUGGGUGGGUUGAGUGCUCCAUAUGAAAAGGCUUCUCAUGUGCAUGAAAGGCCUGUUGUAAAUUGGCUCUGGGCAACUGGUUGCCACCCAUUUGGACCAUUCUCUAACACUUCACAAGUCAGUCAAUUGCUCAAGGAUGUCGCCCUGAGGAACACAAUAUAUGCACGUG